AUUGAACGCUGGCGGCAUGCCUUACACAUGCAAGUCGAACGGUAACGGGCCUUCGGGUGCCGACGAGUGGCGAACGGGUGAGUAAUGCAUCGGAACGUACCUUUCAGUGGGGGAUAACGUAGCGAAAGUUACGCUAAUACCGCAUAUUCUGUGAGCAGGAAAGCAGGGGGAUCGCAAGACCUUGCGCUGAUUGAGCGGCCGAUGUCAGAUUAGCUAGUUGGUGAGGUAAAGGCUCACCAAGGCGACGAUCUGUAGCGGGUCUGAGAGGAUGAUCCGCCACACUGGAACUGAGACACGGUCCAGACUCCUACGGGAGGCAGCAGUGGGGAAUUUUGGACAAUGGGGGAAACCCUGAUCCAGCCAUGCCGCGUGAGUGAAGAAGGCCUUCGGGUUGUAAAGCUCUUUCGGCCGGGAAGAAAUCGUAUGGGUUAAUACCCUGUGCGGAUGACGGUACCGGCAUAAGAAGCACCGGCUAACUACGUG
rnacentral:rRNA from 1 species